rnacentral:ribozyme from 1 species
UGCCCAGCAACUCCUAUCCCUACCUCCUCGCGGUACUGGCCGGGGUACGAGUAACCUUAGGGAAGAUCGGGUAACCAACCCCCGGUGGGAACUUUGGUCGUAUGCUGUCAGGGAAGG